rnacentral:tRNA from 1 species
UCGUCGGCCCGCGGCAGCGGGAAGUGCACCACCGCCUCGAAACGGCGGGUGAAGGCCGGGUCGAGGUUGUCCUUCUGGUUCGACGCCAGGAUGGCGAU